rnacentral:rRNA from 1 species
ACUCCUACGGGAGGCAGCAGUGGGGAAUAUUGGGCAAUGGGCGAAAGCCUGACCCAGCAACGCCGCGUGAGGGAAGAAGGUUUUCGGAUCGUAAACCUCUGUCCUUAGUGAAGAGAAAGAGACGGUAGCUAAGGAGGAAGCCCCGGCUAACUACGUGCCAGCAGCCGCGGUAAUACGUAGGGGGCGAGCGUUGUCCGGAAUGAUUGGGCGUAAAGGGCGCGUAGGCGGCCUGUUAAGUCCGGAGUGAAAUUCCUGCUUUCAAGGUAGGAAGUGCUUUGGAAACUGGCGGGCUGGAGUGCAGGAGAGGUUAGCGGAAUUCCCGGUGUAGCGGUGAAAUGCGUAGAGAUCGGGAGGAACACCAGUGGCGAAGGCGGCUAACUGGACUGUAACUGACGCUGAGGCGCGAAAGUGUGGGGAGCAAACAGGAUUAGAUACCCUGGUAGUC